AAUAACUAAAUAUGGUUAAAAACUCUGCAGAACAAUGCAAACAAGGUAGCAAGGAAGAAGAAAAAAAAAAUAGACACAAGUGACAAGAUUGCCUCAGAAUCACAAGAAGGCCUGUUUGGAGUUCCAACAAGAUAAUAAUUCUUAUUGUCACUUGAUUGCAACCACUAAAAUUUCUAAAUUAUCCAUGUCUUGCUUAGAUGAUAAAUGGCCAUACCAUCUGCUAUAGUUUCUUUCUUUUUCCUUUUUCUUUUUUCUUUUUGCUGCUGAUGUUUAGGAAAAUUUAUUUGCAAUUUGAAUAUGCAGAAACAGUUUAACGCAAAAUGAAAACAGUUAGAAGGAAGCCAGCAGGAAACAGGGAAGAUUGCUAAAAAUUGCUCACAUCCUGGAGUUUAGAGGGAAUGAAGCUACCCAUCAGGUAAUUUCAGCUUCACAGAAAAAUCUUACGCUCAAAUAUGCUGGAGCUUCCGCUAUGGAUUUUGAACUCAAAAAAAAAAAAAAACAAUCCAUAACUGAUGAACAUUCUGUUCUAAUGAAGCUGUAUAAACAUUGGUGGAUGCUACAAAUGGCUGGGAGUUCCUUGAUAUGCAUUCAAGUGCAAGAUAUGCACAUUAUGUUGCAAACAUUGGUCCUUCCAAGAGUCUUCUCUAAGAGGUUUCAUCAUGGGUUGUGAAUUUAAGAAACAAGAGGGUUGCAUCGUCAUUUCAGUUUUGCUUGAAGACCUUUGAUGAUUUAAUCUGUUUCAAAAUUGCUGUGGAAGAAGAGGUUCAUGAUGUUGAUGAGGCAAGCUUGUGGCGUAGGAGAAUUGGGCGAAAGAUGGGAUUUGAAGAAAGGACAGCCCUCAGCCAUGUCGAUGUUAACAAGGCUUGUGGUUUGAAUGGGCCAUGACACUUAAUUAUGUUACUACUUGGGCAUUUGCUAUUUCAGCUGAGGUUAUUAAACUCUUGUUUGAUGCUUCUGCACUUCAUUUUGUCACGUUGCAAACUGUUGACUAUUUACACUAUUUUCAUUUUAUUC